rnacentral:rRNA from 1 species
CCUACGGGAGGCAGCAGUGGGGAAUAUUGCACAAUGGGGGAAAGCCUGAUGCAGCAACGCCGCGUGAGUGAUGAAGGCCUUCGGGUUGUAAAGCUCUUUCCUCAAGGAAGAUAAUGACGGUACCUGAGGAGGAAGCCCCGGCUAACUACGUGCCAGCAGCCGCGGUAAUACGUAGGGGGCGAGCGUUAUCCGGAAUUACUGGGCGUAAAGGGUGCGUAGGCGGUUUUUAAAGUUAGGGGUAAAAGGCCACGGCUCAACCGUAGUAAGCCUUUGAAACUGGGGAACUUGAGUGCAGGAGAGGAGAGUGGAAUUCCUAGUGUAGCGGUGAAAUGCGUAGAUAUUAGGAAGAACACCAGUUGCGAAGGCGGCUCUCUGGACUGUAACUGACGCUGAGGCACGAAAGCGUGGGGAGCAAACAGGAUUAGAUACCCGAGUAGUC